rnacentral:rRNA from 1 species
UACGAAGGGUGCAAGCGUUAAUCGGAAUUACUGGGCGUAAAGGGUGCGUAGGCGGUUCGUUAAGUCUGUUGUGAAAUCCCCGGGCUCAACCUGGGAAUGGCAAUGGAUACUGGCGGGCUAGAGUGUGUCAGAGGAUGGUGGAAUUCCCGGUGUAGCGGUGGAAUGCGCAGAUAUCAGGAGGAACACCGGUGGCUAAGGCGGCUCUCUAGUACGGUACUGACGCUGAGACGCGAAAGCGUGGGGAGCGAACAGG